rnacentral:rRNA from 1 species
UACGGAGGGUGCAAGCGUUAAUCGGAAUCACUGGGCGUAAAGCGCGCGUAGGUGGCUAUUUAAGUCAGAUGUGAAAGCCCUGGGCUCAACCUGGGAACUGCAUUCGAUACUGUUUGGCUAGAGUAUGAGAGAGGGAGGUAGAAUUCCACGUGUAGCGGUGAAAUGCGUAGAUAUGUGGAGGAAUACCGGUGGCGAAGGCGGCCUCCUGGCUUAAUACUGACGCUGAGGUGCGAAAGCGUGGGGAGCAAACAGG